AAGUCGAGCGGACUGAAUGAAAGCUUGCUUUCAUUCGGUUAGCGGCGGACGGGUGAGUAACACGUGGGCAACCUGCCCGUAAGACCGGGAUAACUUCGGGAAACCGGAGCUAAUACCGGAUAACACCGAAGAUCGCAUGAUCUUUGGUUGAAAGGCGGCUUUGGCUGUCACUUACGGAUCGGCCCGCGGCGCAUUAGCUAGUUGGUGAGGUAACGGCUCACCAAGGCGACGAUGCGUAGCCGACCUGAGAGGGUGAUCGGCCACACUGGGACUGAGACACGGCCCAGACUCCUACGGGAGGCAGCAGUAGGGAAUCUUCCGCAAUGGACGAAAGUCUGACGGAGCAACGCCGCGUGAGCGAAGAAGGUCUUCGGAUUGUAAAGCUCUGUUGUUAGGGAAGAACAAGUACCGUUCGAAGAGGGCGGUACCGUGACGGUACCUAACGAGAAAGCCACGGCUAACUACGUGCCAGCAGCCGCGGUAAUACGUAGGUGGCAAGCGUUGUCCGGAAUUAUUGGGCGUAGAGCGCGCGCAGGCGGUUCCUUAAGUCUGAUGUGAAAGCCCACGGCUCAACCGUGGAGGGUCAUUGGAAACUGGGGGACUCGAGUGCAGAAGAGGAGAGCGG
rnacentral:rRNA from 1 species